rnacentral:rRNA from 1 species
GAUGAACGCUGGCGGCGUGCUUAACACAUGCAAGUCGAACGGGAAUUACUUUAUUGAAACUUCGGUCGAUUUAAUUUAAUUCUAGUGGCGGACGGGUGAGUAACGCGUGGGUAACCUGCCUUAUACAGGGGGAUAACAGUCAGAAAUGGCUGCUAAUACCGCAUAAGCGCACAGAGCUGCAUGGCUCAGUGUGAAAAACUCCGGUGGUAUAAGAUGGACCCGCGUUGGAUUAGCUAGUUGGUGGGGUAACGGCCCACCAAGGCGACGAUCCAUAGCCGGCCUGAGAGGGUGAACGGCCACAUUGGGACUGAGACACGGCCCAGACUCCUACGGGAGGCAGCAGUGGGGAAUAUUGCACAAUGGGGGAAACCCUGAUGCAGCGACGCCGCGUGAAGGAAGAAGUAUCUCGGUAUGUAAACUUCUAUCAGCAGGGAAGAUAGUGACGGUACCUGACUAAGAAGCCCCGGCUAACUACGUGCCAGCAGCCGCGGUAAUACGUAGGGGGCAAGCGUUAUCCGGAUUUACUGGGUGUAAAGGGAGCGUAGACGGUGUGGCAAGUCUGAUGUGAAAGGCAUGGGCUCAACCUGUGGACUGCAUUGGAAACUGUCAUACUUGAGUGCCGGAGGGGUAAGCGGAAUUCCUAGUGUAGCGGUGAAAUGCGUAGAUAUUAGGAGGAACACCAGUGGCGAAGGCGGCUUACUGGACGGUAACUGACGUUGAGGCUCGAAAGCGUGGGGAGCAAACAAGAUUAGAUACCCUGGUAGUCCACGCCGUAAA